UACGUAGGUGGCAAGCGUUGUCCGGAUUUACUGGGCGUAAAGAGCGCGCAGGCGGUCGUUCAAGUCGCGUGUGAAAGCCCCCGGCUCAACUGGGGAGGGUCACGCGAUACUGAUCGACUCGAAGGCAGGAGAGGGUAGUGGAAUUCCCGGUGUAGUGGUGAAAUGCGUAGAGAUCGGCAGGAACACCCAGGGGGAAACCAGCCGACUGGGCACAUGCUGACGCUGAGGUGCGAGAGCGUGGGGAGCGAACCGG
rnacentral:rRNA from 1 species